GGUCCCUCUCCCCAACCCCCGAACUUGGCAGCUGCUCGGGUCUGGGAGGGUAGCCACGCCUUGGUGCUGCCCGAGAUCGUGGGUCCUGAAUCCAGAUGAAGCCCUAGGCACCUCAGCAAAGAGCUCCCCGUUCUCGCCAGUGUGCAAGCACGACCUGGAUGUCCACUCGGUGCGAAACCGCGGGGCCAGACGGAUCUUGGCCCAGUAGAAGACCCAUUUGGAUACGGGGCCUCCGGGCUUCCCUAAUUCUCCAUCUCUUCCCCUGUGGCCUGCAUCUUCCGCGGAAUCCUGUCCUCGCGGUCGCCUUUGUCCACCCCUCAUCUUUCUCCUUCGGAGGAAAACUGCACAACCCGUCGGCACCUACUGGGACCUGAUAGAGACGAUCAGAUCUGUGACGAGACAGAGUCACAUCGACGCCCCUGAGGGUCAGUGUGUGGUAUGUGACUUGGGAUUGGCUUUGCUGGACGGCGCCCCCCCGAAAGCCCGCCUACGUGUCUGUCUCCCCCAGGAAGUGGUCCAGAACCUCCUGACAAACAUAACUAGAUGGCCGAGUGAGCCUUGGAUGCCAGGCCCAGUAGUUUGAACUUUUCCUGUGGGCUAGGGGACACAUGGAAGGUUUUUGAACAGAUGUGGCCAAGGAGAAUAAAUGGGAAAGAAUGAGCUACUCUAUGGGAACCAGGGAACAAGCUCCAGGAAGCAAUCCCACCCCCAGGUAAAGGUGGGGGGCCUUGAACAUCUGCCCAGCAGGAUGCUGCAGUUACCAUGGAUCAAUUGAAGAAUUCCAGAUUGAGGCCAUUCCUUCAGACUAGAUUCCGAUUCUGGAAUGAAGAUGAAGUAGAACAGAGCCACAGCUGUCCCAUGGAGGACAUUGGUUCACAACAUCCUCAGAAGCU